rnacentral:lncRNA from 1 species
UUUAAGUUUGAGUUUUUUCAUUGAAAACACAUUGUACGCCCUUGUUUUAUGAUUUUACGUAACAGUUUAGUUCAAUUGUUAGUUGACAAUCUAUGAACCUAACUAAAUAACCAUUUUUUUAAAUUUAUUUUUCUCUCUUACAAAGGAAAUAUCAUUGCCUCUGUCACUCUACUUGAAUUCUACUUCUAUUACGAUCGAAAGCCUCCACCACACCACCUCUACCUAUACCACGUACUCCACUUGAAUGGUGUAUAGAGUUUCAGUUAAAAGUGAAUAUUUUAGUGAAAUGUGGAAGUUAAAGUUGGGCAAUGGUUGGAGUUGGAGGUACCACGAAAGUUGAAGGCGGUUGGAAGGUGAGAGAUAAAAGUGGAAGAUGGUGGCUUAUCUCUUUUUGUGUAUUUUCUUUCAAUUUCUCUUAAAAAUUUAAUAAUAAAAUAAGAGUAUUUUAGUAAUUCUGCCAUUAUUUCUAAUAAAGUUAGUUGACAAGAGAAAUCGAUGUGAUUUCAAAUGGGGUGCAGUGUGAUUUUAAAUAAAUCUAGGGAGCGUCAAUAAAAUUUACCUUUAUUAUAUUUUGAAUUUUUGAAUAAUAAAAAAGGUGUGUCUAUUGAGUUUGUAUUUUUAGAAUCCAUUUGGAACCUAUUCAUUAGAAAAGAGUAUUAUUACUACUGGUUUUUGAACUGGUUUUAAAUGUUUCAAAUAGGAAUUUAUUUUUGAGAAAAAUUAUUAAAAAUAUAUUUUUAAAAAUUUGAAAAUAAUUUCCUUCAAAAAAUGAUUAGAAUAUUAAAAUAAUUAAGGUUUUUGUUCUAAAAUCAAAUUUUAAAAAACAUUCUAAAAAACUAAUUCUAAAAAACAUAAUCAAACAUAUAUUUUGGGAUUUUAAAGUUUGAUGCGCGCAUAGCAAGAAUUACUUUCUCUCUCUCUUUCUCUUACAGACUUUGGUAUGCCAUGUGUUUUUGUCAAAAUGUUGCAAGCAUCAGUUCCUCUAGUCUGUCUUUGCCGACCCAAGACGAGUAAGUUGCUUGACAAGCUUUAAAAAAUGCGUGUGUUUUAUAUCAUAACAAUAGAUUGAAGGGAAUGGGGAGGGGAAAAUUGACAUCACGCUGGAUAACUCAUAUAGGAUGGAUCAGGGGCGUAGGAGGGCAAUCUGGAAAAAAAAAUCAUAUUACACUAAAAAUAUACAAAAUAAUGUCAAGAUUCCUUCAAAAGUUAAGUUUUCUGUAAAAAUGACAAAUUUGUCAUUUGGUUUAGGGUUUUCAAUUUUCUUUUUUCAAUACAUCAAUUAAAAUAAAGAACUAUUUUUUUUUUCUUGAAACAACAUUUAUUUGUAAACUACUCUAUUUUUAAUUUUUAUCAAUAAAUAUUUUUUUUAAAAAAAUUGAUCAAAUAGUUACUUUUUAAGUGCUCCUAAUUAAACAUACUAAAAAAAUUAACUUUGUUAUUAGUUUUUUUUUAAAAUAAAACUAUUUAUUUAUUUUAAUUGGUGCAUUAAGAAAAAAAAUAUUGAAAGCCCUAAAUCAAAGGACAAUUUCAUAAUUAUUUCACAAAUAUUAACUCUAGAGGAGGAAUCUUGAUAUUAAUUUUAAAAGUAAAGGAGGUUAGUGCUAUUUUUAAAAGUAUAAGAAAUGUGACUGUAUUUAUUAAAAACCUCAAGAGAGGUUAGUAAAAUACUUUAAAUAUUGCUACAAACGGAAAAAUAUGUUCAAUUAUAUGUUCAUACAGUAGGAAAAAAAUAUCUAGUUAAAUAUUAUAAGUAGAAGUUGAUAUUGUAAAUUCAAAUUUCAUUGUUAACUUUUUUUAAACUAGGAACAACAUGUAUUUUUACCCUUCAAAGUUAAAAUCAUGGAGCGACCCCUACUGGUAAGGGAGUCCGUCAAUCAUUAGACCAAUCCAUUGGUCUUAAGAAAGAACCUCCAUUGGGAGAUAUAUUAUCAAACAUUGCCUUGAGCGAUUAUAUGGCCUCGAGCUCCUAGUUGAGAAUGUGCGAAGAUGAUCAAUUGAGCUAACCUAAUUGACUAUUUAAAAUGGUUUAAGAUUAGUUUGUUAUUGGUCAAGUAAAGCCAUAUCAAAUAACUUUUUUUCAUAAUAAAGCUGAAGUAACUUGGUUAAUUUGUGUAGAUUAAACUUAUCAAGCCGAGCAGUAACUUUAAAAUAUAUUCAAAAUUAUUUACGUAAUAAGAUAAUAUCAAACGAGUUUUUUUUUUUAAAUGUGCUUAACACAACUCAACUACGUAUAAUUUGGUUCGUUUUACAGGUCCUACCUCCAAGAGGAAAUAUCCCAAGGAUGGUUUAUGACGAGGCAAUUUCCAAGUAGAAGUGAAGGGAAACAAUUAUUGCUUGGAGGUCCUCGUGAGUGGGUGCAUCAUUAAUUGGUGUGUACCCAAGACUAUAUUUGAUCCCUUAAUUACUCUCAUUUGAAACAUAAGUGUGUACCCAAGACUAUAUACCCAAGACUAUAUUUGAUCCCUUAAUUACUCUCAUUUGAAACAUAAGUGUGUACCCAAGACUAUAUUUGAUCCCUUAACUACUCUCAUUGGUAAAUAAAGGUUGAAUAAGAUCAAGUGGGAUGUAAAAUAUACUCUGGACAUUCUCAGGCAAAACAAAAGCCUUAGCUAAGGCAACGAUUUAAUACAAAACCAGAAAGAUCCUGAACAUCAAGAGACUAGGCAUAACAACCCGACUCUAGCCAAAAGGAUUUAAUAUAUACUAGUUCCUUGUUGAUGACUUUCUUUUGUAGAAUGGUGACCAAUUAAUCUGCAUGUUCAUUCUGGCUUGGGUGGGGGUUGAUGGAACUUUAAUGUCAUCCCCACUUUUGCGGAGAGGUCCCACCUGGCUCAUUGGAAAAUAUGUGAGUAUCAUGACUAGAAUUUUAAUCAAAAAAUAAUAACAAACACAUCAUUACAAAUAGUUUAAAGGCGGCAUGGGCGUGAUGUGGUUAAAAUUAGUCACAUCACUAUUAAGACUUCAAAAGAAAUUCUCAAUAACCACAUUAAAAGAAAUAUUUUUAUAGUUUUUUCACACCAAUAUUUAUUGUAAAACUACUCUAUUUUAAUUUUUAUGCAAUAAUAUUUUUUAACAUAAGUUGACCUAACUAGUUACAUUUUACUUUACUAAUGACAAUGUAAUUAAAACAUUAGUAAUAAUUUUAUUAAAAAAAUUAAUCAAUAUUUUACUUUUUAAGUUGAUCUUACUCUUAAAUUAUAAAAAUUAACUUUGUUAUUAUUUUUUACAAAAAUAAAAAUAAUUAUUUAUUUUAAUUGGUUUACUAAGAAAAUGAUGUUAAAAACCUUAAAUCAAAGGGCAAUUUUAUUAUUUUUAAAUAAAAAUGAGUUCCAGAUAAGAAUAUUUACACUAGUUUCAAAAGUAAUAGAGGUUAAUGCUAUUUCUGAAAGUACAAAAAAUAUGACUAUAUUUAUUAAAAACCUCAGGUGAGUUAGUAGAAUCUCUCUUAAUAUUGUUACAACGACAAAAAUAUAUUCAAUUUUAUCGUCAUACAGUGGGCUAAGACUAUCUAGUUGAAUAUUAUAAGAGAUAGAAGUUGAUAUUGUACAUUCAAAUUAUAUCGUUAACUAGGGACAACAUGUGUUUUUACAUUUCAAAGUUGGAAUCAUGGAUCCAUUUCUAAUAGUAAUGGAGUAUGUCAAUCACUAGAACAACUCUUUGGUAUUAACUCUUUGGUCUUAAGAAAUAACCUCCAUAAUGGGAGAGAUAUUUUCAAACAUUGUAUUGGGGAGUGAUUUAGCCCUGACCUCCUAGUUGAGAAUGUGCAAAGGUGAUCAAAUGAGCUAACCUAAUUGAUUAUUAAAAAACUAGUUUAAGAUUAAUUUGUUUAUUGGGCGACCUCUCGUCAAUCUCAAACAAAUUUUUUUCAUAACAAGCUCAAAUAGAUAGGUUAAUUUGUUUAGAUCAAAUUUAUCGAGCCAAGCGGAGCCGAGGCUUCAAAACAUAUUCAAAAUUAUUUAGGUAAUGAGAUAAUCUCAAACGAGUUUUUUUUCUCUUUAAUAUGUCAAACGCAAAUCAACUACGUGUAAUUUGGUUCGUUUUUCGAGUCCCUACUUCAAAAGAAGGAAAUAUCCACAGGAUAGGAUGGUUUAUGACGAGGCAAUUUCUAAGUCGAAGUGCAGGGAAAGCAAUUAUUGUUUGGGGGUCCAUAAUGAGUUGGUGCAUCAUUAAUGUCACCCUAACUUGGGCAGAGAUGCUACCAGUCUCAUUGGAAAAUCUAAUCAAGACUUAUCUUGUUAUAGGAAGUUUUAACGUUUUUUUGAAUAGAUUAGUUCCAUGCUGAUAACUUUGGUUUGUAGAACGUUGAGCAAUUAAUAUGCCUGUUCAUUCUGGCUUGGGUGGGGUUGAUGGAACAUUAAUGUCACCCCCACUUGCCGAAAGCUCCCACCUGGCUCAUUGAAAAAAUAAGUGUGUAUCAAAGUCUAUAUUAAUUCUUCAUAGGGUAGAAAAUAUUAUAAUAUACAUCGCACGUUAUUUAUCGUCUAGGCUAAUUUGAAAUGUAUUAUGUUCCAUCAUUUUUUUUUGAAUCAAUUUCAUUAAAAUCGAUCAUUUGAUAGUUAAUUAGUUUUAAAAUAUAAUUUAAUCAUUAAAUUCUCAUAAAAUUAAUUUAAUUCAUUAAUAUACCACACAAAUUUUUAUAAAACGUUAUGAUUAUAUUCCUAAUAAAUUCUAAAUAAUCUAAAAUAUUCAUAAAAAUUUAUUUCAAAUAUACCAAUUAAAAAUUUCAAAACAAAUCUAUUCAUACCAAAACAUCUCAUAAUAAUAAGUACAAAAAAGCAUAAUAAAAUUAGUGCUAUGGGUACACCCUUUUGGGUACCCACCCCUAUUGCACACCAAAGAGAGAGGGAGACACAAGAGGAGUGAGCCCCACACAUUUGGGGUGGGCUUCAUACACUUGGAGAGUGUGGAGCCUACUUCUCUUGUGUGUCUCUCUCUUCUAAGUGUUGGGAAAGGGGGGUACCGCAGGGGUGGGGUACCAAAAAGGAGUUGUCCUAUAUAGC